rnacentral:misc_RNA from 1 species
GAUGAAGAACGCAGCGAAAUGCGAUAAGUAAUGUGAAUUGCAGAUAUUCGUGAAUCAUCGAAUCUUUGAACGCACAUUGCGCCCUUUGGUAUUCCAAAGGGCAUGCCUGUUUGAGCGUCAUUUCUCCCUCAAACCCUCGGGUUUGGUGUUGAGCGAUACGCUGGGUUUGCUUGAAAGAAAGGCGGAGUAUAAACUAAUGGAUAGGUUUUUUCCACUCAUUGGUACAAACUCCAAAACUUCUUCCAAAUUCGACCUCAAAUCAGGUAGGACUACCCGCUGAACUUAAGCAUAUCAAUAAGCGGAGGA